rnacentral:rRNA from 1 species
GUAUUACCGCGGCGGCUGGCACGGAGUUAGCCGGUGCUUCUUCUGUCGCUAACGUCAAAUGAUGCUGCUAUUAACAACACCACCUUCCUCACGACUGAAAGUGCUUUACAACCCGAAGGCCUUCUUCACACACGCGGCAUGGCUGCAUCAGGCUUGCGCCCAUUGUGCAAUAUUCCCCACUGCUGCCUCCCGUAGGAGUCUGGACCGUGUCUCAGUUCCAGUGUGGCUGAUCAUCCUCUCAGACCAGCUAGGGAUCGUCGCCUUGGUGAGCCAUUACCUCACCAACUAGCUAAUCCCACCUGGGCAUAUCCUGACGCGAGAGGCCCGAAGGUCCCCCUCUUUGAGCCGAAGCUAUCAUGCGGUAUUAGCCAUCGUUUCCAAUGGUUAUCCCCCACAUCAGGGCAAUUUCCCAGGCAUUACUCACCCGUCCGCCGCUCGCCACCCGAGAAACAAGUUUCUCUGUGCUGCCGCUCGACUUGCAUGUGUUAGGCCUGCCGCCAGCGUUCAAUCUGAGCCAGGAUCAAACUCU